UUGACACAGCUGUUCAUUGCAUGGCUUUUCUUUGAAGAGUUAGAAAAUCCUAAAGCUGUUAUUUAGUGAGUGAUACUCUUCUAUAAACUAUCUGGACUUCUAUAAAUAUUGCUGAUUCCAUGCAGGGCAUCAUUAAUCUUAUCUUCCUGGGAACAUCUCUAAUCACACUUCUACCCGCCCAUGUCAAUCUAGGACACAUCCAAGUCUUAGAAAUAGCAGUGGAAAAAACAUAAAAUGUUCUAACACAUGGAGUUGGCAGACAAGUGACAGACAAGAUCACAAACUGUGCAAAAUGAACAGUUUGCAAGUGAAUGUGCUUCCCUCUUUCCCUCAUCCAAGUGCUGGCUGAGUAUCCUAUGAUGAUUUCAGAUUAAUGCACUAGCCCUGGUUUUUGCUUCCUCCUAUGUGAAUUUCCCUUUAAUCAGGGCUGCCUACUUGACAGUAACAGAAUUACAUGCACUGGAACAUCUUUGGUUCCAUGACCAAACUGAUCUCUUAAGUUACAUUAUGAAUUCAGCAAGAGUUUUUCAGUUAAAACAAGAUGAUGUUAGAAUGGGUGUUUUGUCUGCUGUGCAACAACUGCAAGACCUAAUUACAAACUCUUCAUAUGAGCAAGCAGUAAAUAAGAAUAAAGGUCAGAAAGAAGAGCUGGAUACUUCUGUUCACCAUUACCUUAAUUGAACUCACCAUUCAGGAAAUGAAUCAUGAAUGCCAGGGAAAUGGUUUUCUUUAUUUCCAGGUUGGACUUAACACAUCUCCCUUGGAAAAGGUUAUCUAUCCAUUGCACUAGAAUCUAACUGCAAAAUGUGAAUUUGUGAAAAAGACCAGUGUUCCCUGGUAGACCACACAGGUAAGACUUACUACAGGCUCUUCCUGUACCCAAAUAUGUGACCUAGGAACACCUAUUGCACUGUCUGGCUGAAUACAGAAGUACUUCAUCCUCAGCAAAGGCAAACAUAUGGCACUGGCAACAUUCCAGGUCAACAGCCUCAAACAAACAAGAUGAUAAAUAUAAGACUGUUGUUGAUUGUCUUUGCUGUUAGCUAUUAUUCAUGGAGCAACCUUGAAGUGUGAUGGAAUGUAAGAUAUGAAACUCUUCAUUGCAGCAGUGGCUAGAACCUCAAGGGCAUUGCCAGGUUUUUACCCCAGACAUUAGUUGACAUUCUCUGUCAUGUAGCAGCCUGGGUAAUUUUUCAGCUGUCCAGGUACCAAUGAGAUUACCACUCCUCAGGCAGUUUUACUGCCUACUAUUCAGGGCAUCAUGGUUGUGAGGGUACAGGUUUAGAGUUUUAAAAUCCAGGGCUCCAAUAUUUUAUUAAGUUUAGGAGUAAUUUUUUUAACCAUCCUUAGAGAUAUUUUAUGAUAUUUUGGUAUGGUCCAGGGCAACAUGCUGUUGGUGGUCCAGCAUCAACAGAAGUGGUGGACCAGGUGACCCCCCCAAGAUCUCAUCCAACCUCAGUCAUCCUAUGAUUCUGUAUUGCCUCUUAGCUUGCUUCAGCAGCUUUAAGCCACAAUAAAUUUAAUCUGUAAUUCCCAUUAUGAACCAUGUGUAGCCUCUCUUGCAUUGUUUAGGAAGAAUGCAUAGCUCACAUGCCUGGGGGUGAUGCUUGGAGUCCAAAAGGUACUCAAAUCACUCAACAUGAACUUGAAUCCAACAGCAUGGUUGUAGCAAGAGAUAAGAUUGUAGCUUACCUUUGUAGCUCCGUGAAAAAAAAUAACUUAGAACAAAAUAACAUUUGGUUUUUCUAUUUUUGUUUGCUGUUUUUUGGGGUUUUUUUUCCUGUGGAGGUAGGAUGGUGGGCAUUUUAAAUGUGGAAGCUUUUCAAAGGUUGAGAUUUGACAGUUUUCCAAAGAUCUUUGUAUGCAUUUUGAGAUAUCUUCAUUUCCAUCUCACACAUUAAGAUCCAGAACAUAGCCUGCCCAACUGAUACCUUAAAAUUACAAAGUGAUUCUUGACAGGGUAGCAAGCUCCUAAUAAAUUAAUUUUAAAACUAGGACUAGAAUCUAAUGAGCCCAUUCUUCAGUAUAAUUUUGUUCAAAUGUUUUGUGAGGGCAUCUUUCAUUAUACAUUCAAUUUUGAUGAUAAUUUUUAGUGAUUGCUCAAAAUUAACACUUCCUUCUGCUAUCAGAGAGAAGAGAGUUAGAAAAAAUUUCUUAACAUAUCCAUAUAGUCUUGCAUUCAUGUUCAGUGUCACUGAAGCCAAUUCCCAAUGUAUCUAUUUAGUAAUUAUGUUUAAUAUGCAACCAUGUGAACAGAUUAGUGACUCCUUACUGGACUUAAAAUAACAGCAGGGAAGCAAAAAUAGAAGUAUAUAUUUAUUAGAGAAGUUAUCUAAAAUACAAUAUUAUUUUCCUUUUUAAAUUAGAACAUAUAUUAUUUCAAUGAAAAGAUAUUUUGUAUUAUUUCUAUGGUAAUAACUUUUAAAGAAAACAUUUGAUUUAGAACAUUUUUAAUUAAAAAUCCCAACACUACCAUUAAGACAUAACUAAGGCUGUUGACAGCAUGGGUAAAAAUGCAAAACAGUCUCAAAAAUAUUUACGUCAGUUUCUUAAAAUCUAAGAAGUCUAGUUCUAAAUAUUCAUUUUGCUUAACUUUCUCAAAAUACUUUUUUUCCUAAAUUAUAGCUAGAUUCUGUACUUCUGUGCUUCUUACAAAGCUUCAAGUUAUCAUUAGUUACGUGUACUAUCACACCAGUGGAUGAGGUUUCUUAAAAUGGCUUAUUUUGCUACCACCAUAUCCUCUCCCAAGUAGCCAACAUACUCUUAUACCAAAAUGUCAGUUGCAGUAAUAGUCACCAAAAUGCACACAGCCACCCACCCCCUGCCUCCCCCCACCCCACACCUUAAGAACCCUUUCCCUUUUGGCCAAGAGCCUUUCACAUUUCAUUAGCUGGCAUUUCAGAUGCAGAGCAAAAGAAA